rnacentral:rRNA from 1 species
AAGAGCUCAAAUUUAUAAUCUGGCACCUUCGGUGUCCGAGUYGUAAUCUCUAGAAGUGUUUUCCGCGUUGGACCGCACACAAGUCUGUUGGAAUACAGCGGCACAGUGGUGAUACCCCCGUACACGGUGCGGACGCCCAGCGCUUUGUGAUACACUUUCAAUGAGUCGAGUUGUUUGGGAAUGCAGCUCAAAUUGGGUGGUAAAUUCCAUCUAAAGCUAAAUAUUGGCGAGAGACCGAUAGCGAACAAGUACCGUGAGGGAAAGAUGAAAAGCACUUUGGAAAGAGAGUUAACAGUACGUGAAAUUGUUGGAAGGGAAACGCUUGAAGUCAGACUUGCUUGCCGGAGCUUGCUUCGGUUUGCAGGCCAGCAUCAGUUUUCCGGGGUGGAUAAUGGUGGUUUGAAGGUAGCAGCCUCGGCUGUGUUAUAGCUUUCCACUGGAUACAUCCUGGGGGACUGAGGACACGCAGCGUGCUUUUUGCGAAGGUUUCGACCUUUUCACGCUUAG